UACGUAGGUGGCAAGCGUUGUCCGGAAUUAUUGGGCGUAAAGCGCGCGCAGGCGGUCCUUUAAGUCUGAUGUGAAAGCCCACGGCUCAACCGUGGAGGGUCAUUGGAAACUGGGGGACUUGAGUGCAGGAGAGAAGAGUGGAAUUCCACGUGUAGCGGUGAAAUGCGUAGAGAUGUGGAGGAACACCAGUGGCGAAGGCGGCACUCUGGGACGGUACUGACGCUGAGACGCGAAAGCGUGGGGAGCAAACAGG
rnacentral:rRNA from 1 species